GUGUGGGGCUGAGGCAGAAGGAUGGCCAUGGCCCCGGCAUACAGGGCAGGCCAUCGUCAGGCAGGGCAGAGGCCAGCACAGCGAGGGUGGCCACGGCUGCCCCAUCCACACUCUCCCUUCCUGGCCAAGCAGCUCACCUCAAGACUGGACGGUGACCAAGUGGUGUGUUGGUGCCUACCUCUGGCUGGCCGGCUGCUAUGAUAGAAUUAUGAAGAGCAAGCAGACAGCGCUGAAAGAACGGGGACUUCUUCUUCUUCCACAAACAACUGCUGAUGAGAGAGUGAAGCGAUGAAUAACAGGGCACUGAAUAACAGGAGAGGCUGAAGGCGCAGUGCAGGGCUGUGGCGGUGCCUUCAGAGUGGAUUCUGUCCGGGCAGGCGGUGCAC